rnacentral:rRNA from 1 species
UACGAAGGGGGCUAGCGUUGCUCGGAAUGACUGGGCGUAAAGGGCGCGUAGGCGGCUUGCACAGUCAGGCGUGAAGUUCCUGGGCUCAACCUGGGGACUGCGCUUGAGACGUGUGGGCUUGAGUGGGGAAGAGGGUCGUGGAAUUCCCAGUGUAGAGGUGAAAUUCGUAGAUAUUGGGAAGAACACCGGUGGCGAAGGCGGCGACCUGGUCCUUGACUGACGCUGAGGCGCGAAAGCGUGGGGAGCAAACAGG